GCUCACUUCAUUGGAUGCAUUCAGUGGGAAAUACAGUGGGGAGAUUUAUAUACACAGAGAACAUGAAACAAUGGCUGUUACCAUACACACUGUAAGGAGAGUGAUCAGACUUCUGGUCUUCUGCUUUCUGUCCGCAUGACAAGAACCAGAGGAGACGGGGAAAACAAACAAACAAACAACCAAACAAAGGAUGGGAUAGGGAAGAAAGGCACAACACGGUGAAUGGACUGAUCCAAGAUCAGACAGCAGGUUGCAUUUCAUGCCAACACUGACGGAGGAUAUUCACACAGCUGUACAAUAUGUGAACCCUCUCAAGAAACUUACAUUCUCUCUUCCAAGGGCGAUGGCUUGCUACAGAAACAUGACUGCUGUGAAGAAUGGUGGGAUAUUCCUGUUGGGGGCAGGAAUUCAACCUUCCAAAUGAACUUGUAGGGGAUUCUAAUUAUUACAAAGAAGUUUUCUAGUAGCUUUGGGUAUAAUAUGAUCUUUCAAAGUCUAUAUGUAACUGCAAACUAUGUCUGAAACACCUAUUUUGCUUGCUUCCCCCACCCCCAGCAUUUCUUAUGGUCUUGAACAAGGAAAAUUCAAACAACUGCUGGAGUCAUUUAAUUAUUUAUUACAUAUAAAAUACAAUAUGUAUUAAUGACCUUUUCUGUUGGAAAACAUGCUAUAGGAAAAUUUAACUACCUGCACUAAAAUCUAAACCCAGAAUUAUAUAGGUUAAGACUAUAGAGAGGUAUGUGAUACUGACAUACUGAGAGAUCACUUAAAAAUGGUAUAUUCCCUCUCCAUUAUUGAGUUUAGUAUGAACAGGUGAAUAAAAGAUCCAGGGGGGAAGACAAAAGAGAUACAAUUAAUAUAUGCUAUAUUAUCUUUAAAAAAAAAAAAAAAGGUGGUCAGACAUUUUGGUGAUAUGCCUGAUGUAGAUCUAUUUUAAGCAAGGACAUGAAAUAAUCAACAAAUCUUGAAUUUACAGUAGCCUUGUCAACAUGUGAAGUAUGUAGCGAAUAUAAAAUAUAGUAGGAUAGUAAGCAAUAUGUAACAGAAGCAUAUGUGUGGUGUGUGAACAACUUGCGAUCUGUUUGGAAACUGGUUCCCAGAAACUAAUGAACCAAUCACAAUUGAUGUAGAAUAGAGGGCACAUGUGGAGUUUGUUUCAGAAUGUGUAUUUAAGCUGAUUAGUUAUUUAGUACUUUGGAUCUGUUAUGUACCCAGGGGUGCUGAGAGCCAUUGAACCAAACUGUAAACCCUGUAUAUAAUGGAAACCACUUCAAGCCAGUGGAUGUGGAAGCACCCCCAGCACUCCUAGUUCCAGCACUUAUGUAUGUACCCUGCAUAUGUCUGAUCAACUAACUUAGCUUUGCUAUAUGCCUAAUAAAGAUAUCUGAGUGACGAAA